UUAAUACCUAGAGAUAGUGGACGUUACUCGCAGAAUAAGCACCGGCUAACUCUGUGCCAGCAGCCCGCGGUAAUACAGAGGGUGCGAGCGUUAAUCGGAUUUACUGGGCGUAAAGCGUGCGUAGGCGGCUUAUUAAGUCGGAUGUGAAAUCCCCGAGCUUAACUUGGGAAUUGCAUUCGAUACUGGUGAGCUAGAGUAUGGGAGAGGAUGGUAGAAUUCCAGGUGUAGCGGUGAAAUGCGUAGAGAUCU
rnacentral:rRNA from 1 species